rnacentral:rRNA from 1 species
GACGAACGCUGGCGGCGUGCUUAACACAUGCAAGUCGAACGAUGAAGCCCAGCUUGCUGGGUGGAUUAGUGGCGAACGGGUGAGUAACACGUGGGCAACCUACCCCAAACUCUGGGAUAACUCCUCGAAAGAGGUGCUAAUACCGGAUACGAACUAGGUAGACAUCUGCACUAGUUGGAAAGUUUUUCGGUUUGGGAUGGGCCCGCGGCCUAUCAGCUUGUUGGUGAGGUAACGGCUCACCAAGGCUACGACGGGUAACCGGCCUGAGAGGGCGACCGGUCACACUGGGACUGAGACACUGCCCAGACUCCUACGGGAGGCAGCAGUGGGGAAUAUUGCGCAAUGGGCGAAAGCCUGACGCAGCGACGCCGCGUGAGGGAUGAAGGUCUUCGGAUCGUAAACCUCUUUCAGUAGGGACGAAGCGAAAGUGACGGUACCUAAAGAAGAAGCACCGGCUAACUACGUGCCAGCCGCCGCCGUAA